GCGUGAGUGAUGAAGGCCUUAGGGUUGUAAAGCUCUUUUACCAGGGAUGAUAAUGACAGUACCUGGAGAAUAAGCUCCGGCUAACUCCGUGCCAGCAGCCGCGGUAAUACGGAGGGAGCUAGCGUUGUUCGGAAUCACUGGGCGUAAAGCGUGCGUAGGCGGUGACUCAAGUCAGAGGUGAAAGCCUGGAGCUCAACUCCAGAACUGCCUUUGAAACUAGGUCGCUAGAACAUCGGAGAGGUGAGUGGAAUUCCGAGUGUAGAGGUGAAAUUCGU
rnacentral:rRNA from 1 species